CCAUCUUUUCAAAACCUAGAAACCCCACCUCUAAGAGAGGCCCUCCUUCCCACUUUCACUCUCACUCUCUUUAUGUGCAAAUUAAAGCAAGCAAUAAUCAUUAAGGAAAAGCCCCUCCCCUGCAUUCUCUCACUCUCUCUCUCCUGUUUCUUCAAAAACUCAUUUGUUUGAUCUGCCUGACCAAUUCAUUCACAUCCCUCAUACAUAGAUAGCUCCAAGACUGGUCUCGUGGUUUGAUGUAUGAAACAGUCAUAGCGACAACAUACAACAACAUAAGUAGAAGAGUUAACCUUGUUGGUUAAUUGUACUCCUGGCGGCGUCGGCGCAGGGCAGGUGCACUGCUUUAGUGUGCUCUUGCUAUGUACCAUCAAGAAGCUCUAACUACAAAUGUGAAGAGAGCAACAGAAGCAGCCACAACCGCAACAAUAUUUAUACCAAGAAGCAGCGUCCACCAUUAAAGAAAGAUCAUAAUCAUAAUCAUGAUCUUAAUCAUAAUCAAACACAAGGCACUGCUACUACAAGUGAUGAUGAUGAUGAUAAGAGCAACAGUAAGAGCUGUGGGUCUAGUGGACCUCACAAAAUUGAAGCCCCUAAUCUCAAGAGUAAUCUCAAGAAAACAACAACUGUAGAGGAAAAUCAUCAACUCAGGGCAGAAAAGAGGAAAGUUAGUUGGCCUGAUAUUGCUCAUGGCAAAGAUAUUGCCCAUGUUCAAGAGUUUGAGCCAAGCGUGUGGGAAGAUGGGGACCUUGAGGGAGUAAGGAACUCUUGUGUUUGUACAAUUCAAUGAGGAGGAUGUCCAACUUAAUUAAGGCGGAUUUCUUUUUAAACAUUCAAUCAUUAGAUUCUAAAUUAUAGUCAUUAAUUUGCUUAGAGCCCCAACGACAACAUGAGGCGCUGUCAGUGAGUCGAUUUGUUUGGGAAUACAACUCCAAUUGGGUGGUGAAUUCUCUUCAACACUAAAAAUAUGGGCAACAGAUCGAUAGCAAACAAACACCGCAAGGAAAAGAUGAAAAUUAUUUUGAAAACAAGUGCUUGAAUUUUUGGGAGAGAUGCGGAUGGAAGCCGGCGAUAUAUGAAGGUCAUGACAUUUGAUAUAGAAGUCUCCAAUGAUAUAAAAUCCCACUUUUUUUUUUAAUUUGGAUUUUUCGCCUAAGCUGUUUUGUUGGAAUUCAACAUACGUAUUGAAAGUGACCAUGACUUAUCUAGCUAGGUGACUGACCAUGAAUGUAAAGGAGAACGAAAGGCAGAAAUUGCCCUUCACAGAAGGAGGAGGGGUAGAGAUGAAUUCUUGCCUUGACUAUUUUACUACGGGAGUUUUAAGCUCGCACGAGAAAACGUGAGGUGUUGUCGUGAUGAAUUCUUGCCUUGACUCUUUUACUACGGGAGUUAUAAGCUCCCACAAGAAAACAUGAAUGUGUUGUCAUGUUUUUUUUUUUUUU